UACGUAGGGUGCGAGCGUUAAUCGGAAUUACUGGGCGUAAAGCGUGCGCAGGCGGUUUUGUAAGCCAGAUGGGAAAUCCCCGGGCUCAACCUGGGGGCUGCGCUUGAUACUGAUGAGCUUGAAUGCGGGAGAGGAUAGUGGAAUUCCCAGUGUAGAGGUGAAAUUCGUAGAUAUUGGGAAGAACACCGGUGGCGAAGGCGGCUAUCUGGCCCGUAAUUGACGCUGAGGCGCGAAAGCGUGGGGAGCAAACAGG
rnacentral:rRNA from 1 species